ACAUAGCCCCGAUUGUAGUGGAAAUCCUUUUUGUUUUCCCUCGGAAAACAAAAAGAUUGCAACGGAAAGCGGGUUAGAAU
rnacentral:sRNA from 1 species